GACGAACGCUGGCGGCGUGCCUAAUACAUGCCAGUAGAACGCUGAAGGAGGAGCUUGCUUCUCUGGAUGAGUUGCGAACGGGUGAGUAACGCGUAGGUAACCUGCCUGGUAGCGGGGGAUAACUAUUGGAAACGAUAGCUAAUACCGCAUAAGAGUAGAUGUUGCAUGACAUUUGCUUAAAAGGUGCAAUUGCAUCACUACCAGAUGGACCUGCGUUGUAUUAGCUAGUUGGUGGGGUAACGGCUCACCAAGGCGACGAUACAUAGCCGACCUGAGAGGGGGAGCGGCCACACUGGGACUGAGACACGGCCCAGACUCCUACGGGAGGCAGCAGUAGGGAAUCUUCAGCAAUGGACGGAAGUCUGACCGAGCAACGCCGCGUGAGUGAAGAAGGUUUUCGGAUCGUAAAGCUCUGUUGUAAGAGAAGAACGAGUGUGAGAGUGGAAAGUUCACACUGUGACGGUAUCUUACCAGAAAGGGACGGCUAACUACGUG
rnacentral:rRNA from 1 species